GCAUGCGUUGCCUUCGAUGGCUCGAUCAGCCCCGCGAAAAAUUGAAAUCCAGUUGAGCGUUUUGGGCCUAGCCUAGGCCUGCUAUUGUAAUCUAAAAGUGCAUCGAUCCAGUGGCAGUAGGGCAUUUCCACCUUCAGAAAUUGGCCUGAAUAAGUAAGUUAACACUAUUGUUUUAAAUAAGUUGAAAAAAUUCAUCUGGAUGUUAAUAGUUAGUACUGUAGGUUGUAAAGGUCAUCACACAUUCCUCUGCUAGACGGAAGUAAUGAAAUGCCGUUUGAGAAUGAGACCUGACAGGUCUUAAAAAUGUUCUAAUGUCCACCUUUGCCGCUGGGGUGCACCUAGAAUGUACAAGUAUUUGUAAUAUUUGUUUGAAUGGUGGCAUAUGCGAUGACAAGACAGUACAGUAACUGUAUUUGUGCAUCAGGAUUUAAAGGAGAAAGCUGUGAAAAUAAUAAAAAGCAAAUCGAAGUGAGGUGAGGCUUUGCUGGUUUAUGACGAGGUUGCAUCAUUAUAUGAACAUCUCAACCAUGUCCAUAAUGGUUCCCAAUGAGACUGAAAGAUCAUUCUGUCUUUAAAAACACCUGGUGCCGUCCUCCCAAAACAGUGGACACCAAGAAUUGCUGAAGAAAUUGUUUAACUAUACAGUGUAAUGAUCAAAGAGAAGAUGACGACCUAAGCAGUGAAUUAUAUUAAAGGCAAGAAGACUGUACAGGCCUUCCUGAUAAAUACACCAAUUCUUGAGGGGAUUGCUGAAAACGACAAGAAAUAAAAGCUGUAAAACAGUAUAUUCAAUGAGCCCAAAAAACAAAGGAAGAAAAAAAAAAGAAUUUGUAAGGUCAUUAUGAUUAUUAUGCAAAUUCGUCUCAGGCAAAUUUAAGGGAGCAAAAAUCAAUAAAAUCAAACCCUCAGCAAUUACUGGAGUUUUAUGUAGCAUUUUGCAUUUGGUUAUUAAUAUGGAUAGGUACAUUUUAGAGCUUUUUAAACUGAGGUAGAUUCUUAUGUGCUCAAAAAAGGAACUGCUCUAGUUUAUUGUACAAAUGCUCAAUCAUUAAGUGAAACCCUAGUCACUGCCCCAGUUUUAAUGAGUGUUGUACAAUUAUAAAUGCCCUGAUAGUUGAAUUCAAUGCCACUAUUCUGACUACAGCAUUAAUUGUAGCAACUAAAUUCAUAACAUUUGUGUUGUAUAAAAAAGAAAUUGCAUUUUUUUAAGCAUCCAUUAUCUAUUAAUUUAGAACUUCACCAAAAGUGCCCAUCACAAAAGCCCAAAUUUUUAGUCAGUCACUGGCAGCCCCGGAUACAUUUGGUACAUUUUCGAAAGUGAUGGGCCCCCACCCCAGCCGGCUGCAUCCCCACACGCCAUAGAAUCUGCCUCCACCACAUGGCAAUAAAGAAUUAAAUACAUAAUUAACCACCAUAGUAGGGCUUAUGAAAUACAUAAAAAGACAUUACAUAAAUACAUGUUAAAAUCGAUUAAAACAAUGUGUAUAGCCCUAGUAAUAAAUCGGAUAUUUGGAUGGAAAAGGACCAUCGAGUAGACCAUAAAGAACGAUUAUCAUUUUAUUCAGAUUGUCCUUGAUGUUAUUCAGACGUUUCUGAGCAAUAUAACUUGUGGUAUCAAAGUCAUAUUUUAUUAAUAAAAUGAAUUAUUUUGUCUACCUAACCAUCUUUAUAUUGGUAUUUUCUUGAAAACCUAUUAGAGAUGACCAGAAGAAAAACGAUUCAGAAGUCGUAGGCCUAAAAUUAGUAUUGGUAAAGUAAAUUUUUGUCUGUCUCUUUUAAACUAAUAAAAUGUUGGUACCUUAUAUGACUAGGACAAAUGUAGCUAAAAAUUUGGGUAGAGGGUGCCAUGGGAUAUGUCACGCACCAAGUGGGGGUGGUGUUCACUUUUUUUGUUUAGAAAUGCUUGAGACCAUAGACAAUGAUAAAAUUUAAAUUGGAAAUUGGCGCUUUUUUUUAAUGCCUAUUAGAAAGUCGUUCUCCUCUUUCAGGACUUCUCUCAUACCAAUAUUUGGGGGUGAUAAUGUUUAUUUAUAUAGCAUAUCUUCAUUGGAACUGCACGCUAAUGAAAUUCAUAUACUUAAUUUAUAUGUUGCAUGCAAAUAUUAAAGCUAUUAAGUGUGUGCAAAUACUAUUGUUAAAUAGUCGCACAAUAUUUUUGGAAUUGUACAGAAUGCAAGGGGCCCACAAAUUGUUUUCACCGCCAGGCCCCAUCAUUACGCCACUAAAAUCAUUCCUUUGGGUACUUGUAUUUAAUGAAGAGAUGCUACUUUAUUUUUGAAGACUAAAAUUAGUAUUCUUUGUCUAACAAAUACUGAUGGUUUCGAAUAAAAAUAAAAUUUUAUUUUUGGCCAAUUAGCGCGAACGCCGCUAUAAUGAAAACGUGGAAAUUAAAAAAAAAAUAAAAAAAGUUUUUCUUCAUUUUUAUUACACCCUCCGCUGGCUUGAAAUCUCCAAAUAUAUGAUAUUUCAUCCUAAUUAUAUUCACCAAUAAAAUUUUACUUUUAUUUUCUCCUCCAUCUGGAUGUUUUUGAAAACAAAAUUUUAUUUUUAUUCUGCCCUCCUCCGAUGAUCUUAAAAACAAUAAGUACACGAAACAAGGAAUAAAGAAAGUCUCGCCUAACAAAUACCAGUGGAAAUCAGCUGUAUUGGGUUAUCUUGAUGUCAAAUCAAAUUCAUGUAGAAAUGUAAUAAUUUAAAAAUGUAUUUUUUGUAUUUAACUAGCACUCUUACUAAUACUCUAAGUACCCGUCCCAGAAACCCAAGUACUAAGGUACUUGGACACUAGUAUUUAGAACAUGUACUGUAUGGUACUUUGUUUAAGAUUAAUAUUGAUGUACCAUAUUUAUUUGAAUAAAUAAUAAAUAAUUAAUAAGAAGGGUUUUUGAGGGAGUGGUUAUUCAGGGGUGGGUUUUUCUUUAAUAUAAAAAGGAUACAUUAUACAAGGAUACACUAUACUCAAAUAACGUUCCUUAAUGUGGAAAUGCAACACAUAAUUACUAUCAAAAUAUGUUACUGCAUAAUCAUAGACAUAUUGAUCCAAACCACGUUAAAAAAUGUAAUUCUACUGGAGUAGCUUAUUAUUAAUAGAAAGUGUUGGGAAUGAUUUUGUUUACAGUCAUUUGGUGGGGGAGGGGAUGGCAGGGCUUAUUCAAGGAAAAAUAUAAAAAACUUGAGGCAUUUAUUCGAGGGAGGUGUUUAUUACAAAUGAGGCUUUGGAUGGGGUGUUUAUUCAAAUAAAUUGGUAAUUAAGCAGUUGUUUGAUACUUGUUCUUGAUCAUGCUUUGAAUGAUAAAUCUGUAUACUGUAAAAUACAACUGGAAGUCAAACCUGGUAAUGUUUUAUGAAAAUAAUGAUAAAUCAAAUUGAUGGUUGA